rnacentral:rRNA from 1 species
AACGUAGGUCACGAGCGUUGUCCGGAAUUACUGGGUGUAAAGGGAGCGCAGGCGGGUAUGCAAGUUGGGAGUGAAAUGCAUGGGCUCAACCCAUGAACUGCUCUCAAAACUGUGUAUCUUGAGUAGUGCAGAGGUAGGCGGAAUUCCCGGUGUAGCGGUGGAAUGCGUAGAUAUCGGGAGGAACACCAGUGGCGAAGGCGGCCUACUGGGCACCAACUGACGCUGAGGCUCGAAAGUGUGGGUAGCAAACAGGAUUAGAUACCCCCGUAGUCC